rnacentral:tRNA from 1 species
GCCGGGGUGGCGAAAUUGGUAUACGCACCAGACUCAAAAUCUGGCGGAAGUAAUUCCAUGUCGGUUCGACUCCGACCCUCGGCA